CCGGUCGCCAUCUCGAUCGUGGUAAUGCCGAACGACUAGAAGCCGUAUCCGUGGUCCCGCUCCAUCUCCUCCGGCGUCAUCCAGCACGACGUGCCGAUAAAAGUGUGGUACACCUUCUGCCGCGACAUGUCUCCAUCGGUGGCGAGUCACGCGCUCAUCGGCUAUAUUUAAGGUGCCGUCGUCGCUGUGCAGUAUGAUGGCCACCUUGGUGUCCACAUAAUGGGCAGUGCGGUAUGUGCACUCUAUUGGCAAGCGCACAGCAAGAUCCAGCAAACGUUACCGACAUUUCAGCUAAUGGCAGACGAACGAUCGAAUGACUGUUACCUCGGAAGGGAGGUCUCAUUGCGGAUACUGACUUGGAUGUGGUACCACCGAGUCCCUUGGUCGUAGUUGGCCCUGGUGUUUCGGAUGCGGCAACAUCGGAAAAGCGCUCCGAACGUGUUGUGAUCAAACCGAGAUCGGCGAAGCAGUGUAGUGUUGUGUGGUGAUCGUGUGUUCAUUUAUGUUGUAAAGGGUGAUUGUACUCAUUUUUUACUGGAAAUUGUAAUACUAGUUGUUAUGCAGAACAAAAUGCAGCAUAAAUGGCGAUGAGCUAGCAUUGUUUAAAGGUGCCGGAUGUUAUACGUUAGAGCUGUUCCUAGUGGUGUGAUGCGUUGAUAUAUUAAACCAGUAUUAGGAUUAGGAUAUUAGUAGGAUUUAAACCAGUGCCGUUGAAUAAAAUAGUGUACAACAAGUUCAAAAACAUCCCGUGUAUUUUGUUUGGAUUUUUUAAAGUCCUUUCGAUUACCUAUUACGGAAGCAAAUAUGUGUCAUUAAUGUGCAAAAGAUGGUGAAGUUGCAUGAUAAUUAAAUAUUGAGCGUGUUGGAGGGUUCAAAAAAAUAUUUUACUUGUUCCGCUCCGUUGGUUGUCUGGUUGUCUGGCUGGCUGGCUGGCUGGUUGGAUGGGAUGAUCGGAUGCGCAUUUCCCUACGCCGCUGUGCCGGGUGCAUCAUACGUCGGUGUUGGGUUGCUGUUGCUGGGCCGAGCGGAUGCGCGUGCACACGUGGGAAUAACGACACGCAAUUGUGGUGAUAUCACAGAAACUAUAUAUUUUGUUCUAUUUCAUCAUAAAAAAU